UUUUAUGAUGAAGGCAUUCUACAGCAAUAGUUGAACACUGUGAGAAAAUAACAGAAGAUUGGCAAGGAGGAAUCUAAACAUGCUCAAGUGACUUGCAGCUGGGGUGUAGCAAGACACAUCUAUCAUACUAAUUGUUGUUUAGCCUUGUGUAUUGGAGGAGUAGAACAUCUGUGUUUAGAUAACACAGGCCUGUGACAGACUGAGAGGCACGCUAUUGAACAUGCUUGAGAUUCCUGCCCUGCUGUGGGAAAGAUCAAAGCACAGCAGUGACCUAUGCCUGUGCGGAUCCUUGGGGUACAGGCAAAACCAGCAGGUUCGGUGAUCCUCCAGCAAGGACCAAGCUCCACGGUGCCUGCGUCCCUGCUGGCAUGCCUCUGCCCAGGUGCUGCUCCAGGGAUCCCCUGGCUGGCGAGAAAUGUGUGUGAAAUCUUCCUAGGAAGAAAGAGGUUUCUAUCCAGGAAGGAACAUCCAACUUCAAAAUAAACAAUAAGUGCAAACAAAUUCUUACUGAACACAGUUAAUGCCUUCAGAAGACAUGUGAAAGUAAAAAGUAGAGGAGACAGUAAGAUUGAGAAAAAGAAUGAAGAAUCGCAUUCAAACAGAAGGCAGAGCUGCAGUAUUUGAUAGAUCAAAAUACUUGCCUCAUCAGAGGCUUAAAAUCAAAUAAUAUUUCACCAAGAGAGGGAUCUGAGCAAAUUACAUUAAAUGCCUUAAGGAAUCUUCCCUUGGAUGAGUUAAAAAUACAAGAUAAAAAUACGAGAUAUUUGUAUGAGAUUAAAAGGAGAUAUUUUGCAGAAGAUGAUUUAGAAAAGCUUUUCGAAUCAAAAAGUCUCUGUAAUCUUUACUUUGGUAUUUAUGCUGAGUUAAUGCUAAUAUAUGAAUCAGUCACAUUGCUAUGCUCUCAGACAUUCACUCAGUGAUGAGAAAAAUCUCCUUUUUAUGACCGUUUAAUUAUUCAAUACCUGUCAGUUACUAGUGACAAAUUUUAAAAUCUGGAAGAUGUUAAAAUGUGAUUUUAGAUUUUCACCUCAGGUAAUAAUAGCAUCUGAUGGAAGAGCUGGUUCUGUGAGUUCUGUCUUUCCCAAAGUGGAUACAAGAAGCUUUUUUCUUUUGGAAGACACUCUGUUUUUAGGAACAUAAAAUAAUAGCUGCAGAUAACUUCAGGUAGAAGACACUUACUCAAGUAGCAGUUAACUUCCUCCUGUCAGAUGUUCCUAAAAAAGAAUUGCAGUUUCCUCUAGGCAGCCUCAGCGCCCUUUCCUUUAUUCCCUGAGAUUUACAGCUGAGGGUCCUGUAUCAGUACGUGAGACUUCACACAAGCCUUUCUGUAAGGACCCAUAGAAAUGAACGGCAUGUUGAGAAGUAAGCAAGCAAGGUCAGAAACUGAACCAUGGAACUCAUGCCCUCUUUAAGGCAAAGAAAACUGCAGGCUUUUUCUGUUGAGUUUGUAUUGUACUUGGCUUGUACUUGUGCAUCUAGCUCAAGGUUAACCCCAAAGGCUGUGGCAAGUGUAUAAUGCUUUUUUUUUGCCCUUUGAUGGGAUGAUUGGUGUUCCUUAAUUCUUCAGAUUGUUUACAUGGUUGGUCAAUAUAAAGAACUAGAAGAU